ACUUCCUGGGCUCUGUGACUCUGACAAGGCACUGAAUUUAGCUGCUACUAUCAGUUAAGGCUCAGCUCAUAUGUAAUCAGUUCCAGGACCACCGGUCCCCAGGAAGAGGAUGGAGAAAUUGAAGCUCCAAAUGGCUAAGCAAUCUACCCAAGAUCACACAGCCAGAUUGGUGGCAUCUAAAAUUCGAACCCAGUCCUGAUGUGCUGAACUUCGCAUCUGGAUUUCUCAAAAUGUUAAGGAUUGAUAUGCUGGGCUGGUAAUUCCUUAUUGUGGAGGGCUUCUUUGUGUAUUAUAGGAUGUCUAGCCGUAUCCCUGGCUUCUAUUCUACAUCGUAGUAGCACCCCUACUCCUAUAUGACAACCAAAAAUAUCUCCAGAUAGUCAGUUGUCUCCUGAUGGGCAACAUCACCCCACUCCCAGUUGAUCACUACUGCCCUGUGUUAACAUAUGUUUUCUCAUAUAAUUCUCACAACAACCCUAUACACUAGGUGCCAUUAUCAUCCCCAUUUUGAAGAUGAAGAAAUGAAACCCAGAGAAAUUGGGAGUUGAUGAGGGUCACAAAGCUUGUAAAUGGCUCUCAUUUUUUCCUGGGUAUAAAGUGGUAGAACUAGUGAAGGUGAUGAGAGGCUGAAUAUUUCAGUGGUUGAUACCAGGCAAGUGCAACUCCGAAGUCUUGAUUUUAUUGCUGCUUUAUUAGGCAUUUGAAAAAUUUAGUGCUUAUGACACUAAUAACCAGGAGUAGGCUGUUAAAAUUCAAAUUCUUGAUAGAAUCAAAUUCAGUAGAUCUGCAGUGGGCACAGAAAUGUGUAUUAUAAAACAUAGCUACACUGACUGGCGGUGCUGUUGUCCAGGGAACCUAAGCGUGAAACAUGGAACAUUGUGCCCCUAAAAGAAAAUUUCGGGAGAAAGAAUGGAGAUGAUAAGCGGAAAGGAGAGGGUUUGGGAUGAGACCUGACGUGCAACUACUUGCACAAUUCAGUUUAACUGCCACACAAAGAGGGCACCGAAUAUGCAUUAUACCAAGUGACCUGCAAUGCUUGGAUGAGGGGUCUACUGUAGACCUUGGGAUGAUGCAUCCAGUGCCUUCAAAUCACUACUCACUCUUGGCUAGUGUUGAAUCCCAAGGCUGAGUGGGCUGCCUCCUUUGGAAGCUUAGUGCAUCCUGAGGUUCUAAAAAUGGUUACAGUGAAACAAAAACAGCUGUGUCAAUUUCCAAUUUCCGCUCUAUUCAGAUUCACACUCUGCCUCCUCUCCUCUCUUAGAGGCAGUGGGACACAGGCACACACAUGCACUCAUUCCACCUCCUUUCCUCCCUCAGGCGUGGAAGGACAUGAGCGUGCACACAAGCAGGCACACACAGACACACAUGUGCGCACUCUGCCGCCUCUCUCUCACUUACUUGAGUUCAUUUCCCCAUGGAGAGGGAAUGUUUCUAGUUUUCCAAAAAGGAAUGGCAAACAAGAGAAGCCACAAGAGCCUAGACUACAAUAAAAUGCUACAAUAUGCUUUCAAGCUGGAGCGACUAAAAAGCUGGGAAGAGAAAGCGGCAGUAUAAUGUCUAUUUUUAUCUUCAACUAUAAUCUACCCACUUGUAGUUUCAUAGCUGUCAGGAGGCAGAAAAGGACAUGGAAUCAGCCUACUGUUCUCUGCUCGCAUCCUACACCUGUGUGGCAUGAAUGUGGGUGUGUGUGCACAUACACAGAUACUUUAACACACUGUCAGAGGAUUUGAUUGAACUCACACCUGAAGCCAGAUUUUUUUUAGAAGUUGUCCCUUUGUUCAUUAUUUCUUGGCCAGGCACAGAAAAUUAAAAGCAGGUUAUUGAAACCCAUUUUCUGGGUCCUGAAGGAUAACUGUUAGCCUUGGAUGAUCAGAAGGAGCAGCUAUGCACCUAUUAGGCUUUGUCAGCCUUGGCCACACUGGGUUAUGGGGAUUCCUAACCUCCUGAACACUACUCACUAGUUUGGUGAUUAUCUAUCUCCUUGAGAGAAGGCAAGUAUGGCCCAAUGGAAAUAGCACAGCCUUGGAGUCGGGACACCUGAGCAUCUUGCCUCAUUCUGCCAUGUACAAACUCUGUGGCCUCCAGCAAGUUCCUUUACCACUCUGAACCACAGUGUCCUCAUCUGCAGAGGGACGACAACCCCUAUUUGAUGAUUGUUGGGAGAAUUCAAGAUAAUGUAUGCAAACAACUUACCUACACUUGUACAUUCAACUAUCAUCUUCUUCAAAGAAGAAACUGUGGCAGGUGCUAUUCCACAACCCAUGUUUAUGUUCAAGCUUUGUUGGAUUCCUGUUUGGGAAUUUCCUUCCGAGGCGGGCGGUGUCACAUUCAUUUGAAGUCAGUCAAUAAUGACCCAGAUGUGGCACAUGAAACAGAGUUGGCCAGGAAAAAGAAGUCCCUGUAAAGCUCAUGUCAGAGAGAGAGAGAGAAGGAAGAAGCAUGGAUGGGCCUUAAAGAUAUUCUAGUUCUAGGAAGAUGUGGCCAAGGAGAAACAACUUCCUAUUCCUAUCCUGUAGCCUGCCAAGCCUGAGAAGCUACCUCCCUGAAAAUCUUCCUAGGACUCCUCAGCUUCCUCAAUGCUACCAAAUACCCACUAUCUCCAUAGACACACACAAAUCCCCUCCACCCACAAUGAUGUCCUGGUAAGCUACUUGGUAUCUUACUGCAACAAGUAUUCAAUGAAGAAGCUUGAUGUCUGUGCUAAAGAUGCCAUCCCCUGAGGUUCUGAAAGCUGUAAAUGCUCAAGCUCCUGCAGCAGUGCUACUCAGGGGAAGACAGCCCCCACUCUCCGUGUCACACUUUGUAUCUUGGGCACUAAAGCAGCCCUGCACUUAAUCCAUUCCUUCUGCUUUUGCAUGUAACCCCUGUCUACUCAGGGCUCAUGCAAAUAACUGGGUGAGGUUUACAGGCCUUGGUAAGCUCCUGUCCCAUCCCUCACAGAUGUGUCAAUUGCACUUCUUGCAAAACUGCUUGUCCAAGUUGCUAGCUUGUGGGCUGGUCUUCACCUGACAUUAGUACUUGGGCAGUUAGAGUUUUUGAUCUUUUAGACUAUAAGUUUUUAGUGAGUCAGGUUUUCUGUUUAAUUCUUCACAGCCAUUUUACUUCACAGUAAAAUGGUAUGGUUUUUGCUGUAGCAUACAGGAAUAUCUAGAAUAGUGGGGGUAUGGAAAAAAUGUUUCACAUUUAGUUUAGAGCUAGUCUUCUUUUACAUUUUCUUAUAUUCCAUUUUGUUAAUUUCUAGUAUUUGUUAAUUUCUGUCAUUUGUUUAUUUAACAUUUAUUGAGCUACUCUGAAGAGAUAACACUGUAUCCUGAACCAAUAAAUACGACUACUACAAUCUCUGCUUUCAAGUUUCUAUAAUUUUGGGGAGAAAGGGAGAUAAACACGAAAACAAAAUUCUGUUGAUGAGUGUAAAUGGAAACACUCAAACGUUUAUUUCCAGAGGAUAACUUAUGAAAGGAAAACAUUAAUCCCAGCCAGAUGAGGGGAUCAAAUGAUAUUUCUCACUUUCACUUUGCCACCCAAUCUCAGACACUAUCCUCUCUGGGCUGACAUUGACUUCCUCCAGCUGACAGAGGCAUCAUUAGUGAGUCCUGAGCUGCCAGUAUGGUCUAAAAACUAAAAUUUAACAGCCUCCUGAGCUGGGGAAAAUCUUAACUGAGAACUGCAAGGAAUAGCUGCCUUGGCACAAGCUGUGUGGAAUCUUAAAAGGGAGCAGGUUUUGAGGCCAAGAUUUAUGUUCAACAGCUAAUGCUUUAGAGACAGAGUUAUAUGUAGAAAAGCUGACUCCGUGUUUGUCCCUUACUGAUGCAAAUAAGAGUCGCAUCUGUAACCCAUGUUUUAUCUGUUUAUUUUUUUUAGACCCUGACAUAAUAUAAAAGGUGAGUAUUAAGGCCCACUAAACCUCUGAAGGUCUAUCUGCUUAUCCCAUUGCAG
rnacentral:lncRNA from 1 species